AACAGGGGAACGAAGGCUAAGUACGCCACAUCGUGUGGCAAUGCCUUCGUGACCAACAUCCUGUUGG
rnacentral:sRNA from 1 species